rnacentral:rRNA from 1 species
ACGUAGGGUGCGAGCGUUGAUCGGAAUUACUGGGCGUAAAGCGUGCGCAGGCGGUUAUGCAAGACAGAUGUGAAAUCCCCGGGCUCAACCUGGGAACUGCAUUUGUGACUGCAUAGCUGGAGUGCGGCAGAGGGGGAUGGAAUUCCGCGUGUAGCAGUGAAAUGCGUAGAUAUCGGAAGGAACAUCAGUGGCGAAAGCGACUUCCUGGACCAAUACUGACGCUCAUGUGCGAAAGCGUGGGGAGCAAACAGGA